UACAACAUAGUGUUAAUGCAUCGUAUCCCAUUAGAACUUCGUAGUUAAGCACGCUCAAGAUAGAGUAGUACUGGGAUGGGUGACCACCCAGGAAGUCCUAGUGUUUUAA
rnacentral:rRNA from 1 species